rnacentral:rRNA from 1 species
AGAGUUUGAUCCUGGCUCAGGACGAACGCUGGCGGCGUGCCUAAUACAUGCAAGUAGAACGCUGAAGAGAGGAGCUUGCUCUUCUUGAAUGAGUUGCGAACGGGUGAGUAACGCGUAGGUAACCUGCCUUGUAGCGGGGGAUAACUAUUGGAAACGAUAGCUAAUACCGCAUAACAAUGGGUGACACAUGUCAUUUAUUUGAAAGGGGCAAUUGCUCCACUACAAGAUGGACCUGCGUUGUAUUAGCUAGUAGGUGAGGUAACGGCUCACCUAGGCGACGAUACAUAGCCGACCUGAGAGGGUGAUCGGCCACACUGGGACUGAGACACGGCCCAGACUCCUACGGGAGGCAGCAGUAGGGAAUCUUCGGCAAUGGACGAAAGUCUGACCGAGCAACGCCGCGUGAGUGAAGAAGGUUUUCGGAUCGUAAAGCUCUGUUGUAAGUCAAGAACGAGUGUGAGAGUGGAAAGUUCACACUGUGACGGUAGCUUACCAGAAAGGGACGGCUAACUACGUGCCAGCAGCCGCGGUAAUACGUAGGUCCCGAGCGUUGUCCGGAUUUAUUGGGCGUAAAGCGAGCGCAGGCGGUUUGAUAAGUCUGAAGUUAAAGGCUGUGGCUCAACCAUAGUUCGCUUUGGAAACUGUCAAACUUGAGUGCAGAAGGGGAGAGUGGAAUUCCAUGUGUAGCGGUGAAAUGCGUAGAUAUAUGGAGGAACACCGGUGGCGAAAGCGGCUCUCUGGUCUGUAACUGACGCUGAGGCUCGAAAGCGUGGGGAGCGAACAGGAUUAGAUACCCUGGUAGUCCACGCCGUAAACGAUGAGUGCUAGGUGUUGGAUCCUUUCCGGGAUUCAGUGCCGCAGCUAACGCAUUAAGCACUCCGCCUGGGGAGUACGACCGCAAGGUUGAAACUCAAAGGA